CGGCACGGGUGAGUAACACGUAUCCAACCUGCCGUCUACUCUUGGACAGCCUUCUGAAAGGAAGAUUAAUACAAGAUGGCAUCAUGAGUUCACAUGUUCACAUGAUUAAAGGUAUUCCGGUAGACGAUGGGGAUGCGUUCCAUUAGAUAGUAGGCGGGGUAACGGCCCACCUAGUCUUCGAUGGAUAGGGGUUCUGAGAGGAAGGUCCCCUACAUUGGAACUGAGACACGGUCCAA
rnacentral:rRNA from 1 species